AUUGAACGCUGGCGGCAGGCCUAACACAUGCAAGUCGAGCGGAUGAAGGGAGCUUGCUCCAGGAUUCAGCGGCGGACGGGUGAGUAAUGCCUAGGAAUCUGCCUGGUAGUGGGGGAUAACGUCCGGAAACGGGCGCUAAUACCGCAUACGUCCUGAGGGAGAAAGUGGGGGAUCUUCGGACCUCACGCUAUCAGAUGAGCCUAGGUCGGAUUAGCUAGUUGGUGGGGUAAAGGCCUACCAAGGCGACGAUCCGUAACUGGUCUGAGAGGAUGAUCAGUCACACUGGAACUGAGACACAGUCCAGACUCCUACGGGAGGCAGCAGUGGGGAAUAUUGGACAAUGGGCGAAAGCCUGAUCCAGCCAUGCCGCGUGUGUGAAGAAGGUCUUCGGAUUGUAAAGCACUUUAAGUUGGGAGGAAGGGCAGUAAGUUAAUACCUUGCUGUUUUGACGUUACCAACAGAAUAAGCACCGGCUAACUUCGUG
rnacentral:rRNA from 1 species